rnacentral:rRNA from 1 species
UACGGGGGGGAGCAAGCGUUGUUCGGAUUUACUGGGCGUAAAGGGCGCGUAGGCGGUCAGCACAAGUCAGUUGUGAAAUCUCCGAGCUUAACUCGGAAAGGUCAACUGAUACUGUGCGACUAGAGUGCAGAAGGGGCAACUGGAAUUCCCGGUGUAGAGGUGAAAUUCGUAGAUAUCGGGAGGGAAACACCCGGUGGCGAAAGG